rnacentral:rRNA from 1 species
CAAUAGCGUAUAUUAAAGUUGUUGCAGUUAAAAAGCUCGUAGUUGGAUUUCUGGUUGAAGCGACCGGUCGGGCGUUGAUUCGUCUGCACUGGAGUCGGUUUUGGCCAUCCUCUAGGAAAGUGCGUCUGGUAUUAAGUUAUCGGGCGUAUGACCCUGGUCUUUUACUGUGAAAAAAUUAGAGUGUUUAAAGCAGGCCUUCGCCUUGAAUACAUUAGCAUGGAAUAAUAAGAUAGGACUUUGGUCUAUUUUGUUGGUUUGCAGACCGAAGUAAUGAUUAAUAGGGAUAGUUGGGGGUAUUUAUAUUCCGAUGUCAGAGGUGAAAUUCUUAGAUUUUCGGAAGAUAAACUUAUGCGAAAGCAUUUACCAAGGAUGUUUUCAUUAA